GGGGGUGUAGCUCAUUUGGUAGAGCGCUCGCUUCGCAUGCGAGAGGCACGGGGUUCAAUUCCUCGCACCUCUA
rnacentral:tRNA from 1 species